UCUCGGUUCGCGAUCCACAAG
rnacentral:miRNA from 1 species